CGCAAGUGAAAUACCACU
rnacentral:snRNA from 1 species